CAGCAGCCGCGGUAAUACGUAGGGUGCGAGCGUUAAUCGGAAUUACUGGGCGUAAAGCGUGCGCAGGCGGUUUUGUAAGACAGGCGUGAAAUCCCCGGGCUCAACCUGGGAAUGGCGCUUGUGACUGCAAAGCUAGAGUGCGGCAGAGGGGGAUGGAAUUCCGCGUGUAGCAGUGAAAUGCGUAGAUAUGCGGAGGAACGCCGAUGGCGAAGGCAAUCCCCUGGGCCUGCACUGACGCUCAUGCACGAAAGCGUGGGGAGCAAACAGGAUUAGAGACCCGCGUAGUCCCUGUCUCUUAACA
rnacentral:rRNA from 1 species